CAUUUUGUUGGCGUGGAUUUUUUUAAAAAAAUUUCUUUCUGAGACGGAAACAAUUUGUUUUGGUUCUCUGCUGUUGAGCGCUAUCUUUCAUAAUUCGGCAUCUGUAGUUUCUUUCGUAGAUACUUUCAAGUGCAAUUUUCACUCAGUCAAUUAUAUUCUUAUUAAAAGGAAAAAUUGACAAAAACUCCCAAUUGAAUUAGAUCGAAUGAGUUGGCCGAUAUAGUUUAUCUGAUGCUGAAUUUGCUGAAUCACAUCCUGCUGUUUUUCCCCCCUUCAAUUAUUGAAAUCAAUAGUUCAAGGAUAUCGAUCUAGUGUAAUUUAUCACCUGUGUAGGACACUUGACUACAGGUUGAAUAAUACAUUAGGGCGAGGCAACUGAGUUAUCUUUCUUGAGCUGAACUCUUGUUCGAAAUAAGCAGAGAACAAUGGACAACAGGAUGAAGCUCGCCCUCCUGCUGGGGGUGGCAAUGCUAGCUGUCGUCUGCCACGUCCGAGCCGGAAGUGAAGAAGACUGUGACGCAGCGAACGACGCCUACUACGCGUGCGAACCCAAGGACAAUGACCCCAAUUCCUGCGAUGAGCUCUACUACCAAUCCAUGGUCGCCUGCUACUCGCAGGAUUGCGCGGAGGUGGAGAAAGAGUACAGCCAGGCAGGGUGCAAGCAGGCAGAGCAGCCGGCACCUUGCCAGGAUUUAGAGAAAAGUGUGGAGAAAUUGUGUCCAGGUUAUUUUGAAUACGCCGAAGACAACGAAAAAUAAUAACUCACAGUGACAUUUUUCCCCCUUCUUGUUAAUGUUAUCGUCCUCUUAAUAUAAUAACACGUUAUUUGUUGUGAAUGUGUAUUUUUAUAAUCAUAUCAAACAAAGUUAUUAUUGUAAAAAUUGUGCAUGACAGAAAAUGAGCUUCGCGGAAAGGUAGAUACAUAUAAAAUAUAAAAACGAUGUAUAGGAAACAACCUCUUCUGUUUGAAAAAAAUGGGGGGGGGGGGG